rnacentral:rRNA from 1 species
UACGAAGGGUGCAAGCGUUACUCGGAAUUACUGGGCGUAAAGCGUGCGUAGGUGGUGAGUUAAGUCUGUCGUGAAAGCCCCGGGCUCAACCUGGGAAUGGCGAUGGAUACUGGCUCGCUAGAGUGCGGUAGAGGAGAGUGGAAUUCCCGGUGUAGCAGUGAAAUGCGUAGAGAUCGGGAGGAACACCGGUGGCGAAGGCGGCGACCUGGGUAGAUACUGACGCUGAGGUGCGAAAGCGUGGGGAGCAAACAGG